UUGAGUGCAAGGGGCCGCGCUGAUAGGUCCUCCUCUCGGGCUUAGGGAGCGGGAGCAACAGGUGGAGCCCGCCGCACUUCCUCUGAAGGGGCUCUGUUCUAGCUCAUGUAUGGGAACGUGGGGAUCACCAGACCAUCUGGGAAACCUUUCCCAUACACUGUCUCUAUGUCCGGUGACUUUGGGAAGUCCUAAAGGACAACGGGGGAAUUCACCAAGCUUAGGUCGAGUGAGCCUCCCCACCACCCCGGAGCCACCAUGGGACACAGCUCAACUCAUUUCUUGGAGGAACUUGCCAGUGUGUCCCCAAGAGCCUGGGUGGCAUAGUCUGCGCCCACCUGGCGCCUGAAGUCCACGGGGACUGCACUUCCUGUGCUCCGGACUUCCUCAUAGGUUGUCUUUCUAUCUGUCUUCCAGUGACAGGAAAUUCACAGAAACCAAUAGGCCUGUUUCUCCAGGAGGGGGAUGCCUCUCAUGCCUUGAAUUCCGCCAGGAAAGCAGA